GCUAACUACGUGCCAGCAGCCGCGGUAAUACGUAGGUGACAAGCGUUGUCCGGAUUUAUUGGGCGUAAAGCGAGCGCAGGCGGUCUUUUAAGUCUGAUGUGAAAGCCCACGGCUCAACCGUGGAUGGUCAUUGGAAACUGGAAGACUUGAAUGCAGAAGAGGAAAGUGGAAUUCCAUGUGUAGCGGUGAAAUGCGUAGAUAUAUGGAGGAACACCAGUGGCGAAGGCGACUUUCUGGUCUGUAAUUGACGCUGAGGCUCGAAAGCGUGGGGAGCGAACAGGAUUAGAUACCCUUGUAGUC
rnacentral:rRNA from 1 species